GAUUAAGUUAUUAAGGGCGCACGGUGGAUGCCUUGGCACUAGAAGCCGAUGAAGGACGUUACUAACGACGAUAUGCUUUGGGGAGCUGUAAGUAAGCUUUGAUCCAGAGAUUUCCGAAUGGGGAAACCCAGCAUGAGUUAUGUCAUGUUAUCGAUAUGUGAAUACAUAGCAUAUCAGAAGGCACACCCGGAGAACUGAAACAUCUUAGUACCCGGAGGAAGAGAAAGAAAAUUCGAUUCCCUUAGUAGCGGNNNNNNAANNGGGAAGAGCCCAAACCAACAAGCUUGCUUGUUGGGGUUGUAGGACACUCUAUACGGAGUUACAAAGGACGACAUUAGACGAAUCAUCUGGAAAGAUGAAUCAAAGAAGGUAAUAAUCCUGUAGUCGAAAAUGUUGUCUCUCUUGAGUGGAUCCUGAGUACGACGGAGCACGUGAAAUUCCGUCGGAAUCUGGGAGGACCAUCUCCUAAGGCUAAAUACUCUCUAGUGACCGAUAGUGAACCAGUACCGUGAGGGAAAGGUGAAAAGCACCCCGGAAGGGGAGUGAAAUAGAACCUGAAACCGUGUGCUUACAAGUAGUCAGAGCCCGUUAAUGGGUGAUGGCGUGCCUUUUGUAGAAUGAACCGGCGAGUUACGAUUUGAUGCAAGGUUAAGCAGUAAAUGUGGAGCCGUAGCGAAAGCGAGUCUGAAUAGGGCGUUUAGUAUUUGGUCGUAGACCCGAAACCAGGUGAUCUACCCUUGGUCAGGUUGAAGUUCAGGUAACACUGAAUGGAGGACCGAACCGACUUACGUUGAAAAGUGAGCGGAUGAACUGAGGGUAGCGGAGAAAUUCCAAUCGAACCUGGAGAUAGCUGGUUCUCUCCGAAAUAGCUUUAGGGCUAGCCUCAAGUGAUGAUUAUUGGAGGUAGAGCACUGUUUGGACGAGGGGCCCCUCUCGGGUUACCGAAUUCAGACAAACUCCGAAUGCCAAUUAAUUUAACUUGGGAGUCAGAACAUGGGUGAUAAGGUCCGUGUUCGAAAGGGAAACAGCCCAGACCACCAGCUAAGGUCCCAAAAUAUAUGUUAAGUGGAAAAGGAUGUGGCGUUGCCCAGACAACUAGGAUGUUGGCUUAGAAGCAGCCAUCAUUUAAAGAGUGCGUAAUAGCUCACUAGUCGAGUGACACUGCGCCGAAAAUGUACCGGGGCUAAACAUAUUACCGAAGCUGUGGAUUGUCCUUUGGACAAUGGUAGGAGAGCGUUCUAAGGGCGUUGAAGCAUGAUCGUAAGGACAUGUGGAGCGCUUAGAAGUGAGAAUGCCGGUGUGAGUCGCGAAAGACGGGUGAGAAUCCCGUCCACCGAUUGACUAAGGUUUCCAGAGGAAGGCUCGUCCGCUCUGGGUUAGUCGGGUCCUAAGCUGAGGCCGACAGGCGUAGGCGAUGGAUAACAGGUUGAUAUUCCUGUACCACCUAUAAUCGUUUUAAUCGAUGGGGGGACGCAGUAGGAUAGGCGAAGCGUGCGAUUGGAUUGCACGUCUAAGCAGUAAGGCUGAGUAUUAGGCAAAUCCGGUACUCAUUAAGGCUGAGCUGUGAUGGGGAGAAGACAUUGNGUCUUCGAGUCGUUGAUUUCACACUGCCGAGAAAAGCCUCUAGAUAGAAAAUAGGUGCCCGUACCGCAAACCGACACAGGUAGUCAAGAUGAGAAUUCUAAGGUGAGCGAGCGAACUCUCGUUAAGGAACUCGGCAAAAUGACCCCGUAACUUCGGGAGAAGGGGUGCUCUUUAGGGUUAACGCCCAGAAGAGCCGCAGUGAAUAGGCCCAAGCGACUGUUUAUCAAAAACACAGGUCUCUGCUAAACCGUAAGGUGAUGUAUAGGGGCUGACGCCUGCCCGGUGCUGGAAGGUUAAGAGGAGUGGUUAGCUUCUGCGAAGCUACGAAUCGAAGCCCCAGUAAACGGCGGCCGUAACUAUAACGGUCCUAAGGUAGCGAAAUUCCUUGUCGGGUAAGUUCCGACCCGCACGAAAGGCGUAACGAUUUGGGCACUGUCUCAACGAGAGACUCGGUGAAAUCAUAGUACCUGUGAAGAUGCAGGUUACCCGCGACAGGACGGAAAGACCCCGUGGAGCUUUACUGUAGCCUGAUAUUGAAAUUCGGCACAGCUUGUACAGGAUAGGUAGGAGCCUUUGAAACGUGAGCGCUAGCUUACGUGGAGGCGCUGGUGGGAUACUACCCUAGCUGUGUUGGCUUUCUAACCCGCACCACUUAUCGUGGUGGGAGACAGUGUCAGGCGGGCAGUUUGACUGGGGCGGUCGCCUCCUAAAAGGUAACGGAGGCGCUCAAAGGUUCCCUCAGAAUGGUUGGAAAUCAUUCAUAGAGUGUAAAGGCAUAAGGGAGCUUGACUGCGAGACCUACAAGUCGAGCAGGGUCGAAAGACGGACUUAGUGAUCCGGUGGUUCCGCAUGGAAGGGCCAUCGCUCAACGGAUAAAAGCUACCCCGGGGAUAACAGGCUUAUCUCCCCCAAGAGUUCACAUCGACGGGGAGGUUUGGCACCUCGAUGUCGGCUCAUCGCAUCCUGGGGCUGUAGUCGGUCCCAAGGGUUGGGCUGUUCGCCCAUUAAAGCGGUACGCGAGCUGGGUUCAGAACGUCGUGAGACAGUUCGGUCCCUAUCCGUCGUGGGCGUAGGAAAUUUGAGAGGAGCUGUCCUUAGUACGAGAGGACCGGGAUGGACAUACCUCUGGUGUACCAGUUGUCGUGCCAACGGCAUAGCUGGGUAGCUAUGUGUGGACGGGAUAAGUGCUGAAAGCAUCUAAGCAUGAAGCCCCCCUCAAGAUGAGAUUUCCCAACUUCGGUUAUAAGAUCCCUCAAAGAUGAUGAGGUUAAUAGGUUCGAGGUGGAAGCAUGGUGACAUGUGGAGCUGACGAAUACUAAUCGAUCGAAGACUUAAUCAA
rnacentral:rRNA from 1 species